ensembl:lncRNA
CCGAGUUAACUUACACAGGGUUGUCACUAACCACGUUCUUGGAAUGCCCCCUGGACUCAGGUCUGCACACACCUCUCUCUGCUGCUCAGAGUCCUGCACACACCUCUCUCUCUGCUGCUCAGAGUCCUGCACGGACAGGCAAGCCUCAGCACGCUGUUGUACAAACACUUUACUUUCCCUGGCUGCUGUUCAAGAGGGGAUUUAAGUCUCUUCCCUUCAGCACACAAUGUCUGACGUGGUUGUCAAAGCCAUAAUAAUAAUAACAAUAAUAAAACAUCACGUUUAUAUAGCGCCUUUCACAGUUCUCAAAGACCAUGACAAUCCAAGGACCAAACACAGUGGUGGGUCGACCUUUACCUGCACAGAACUGUGGGAUAGGUUUUUGCCCCCACUACUAAACCUUGAUCAGAAUAGUCAGUACCGGACCUCGUUCGUAAGUGGUUGAGUCCUCCUUGGUUUGCGAUGGACAGUUGUGAAAACGUAGCGGGACAAGUGUUAAAAUCACUCAAUCAGUUGAUAAUGUCAAAUAUAGAUGUUUGUGAGAGCACUGAGGUGACAUCACAUCACACCUUUAGCUGCUUCUGAACCCUGCCUCAAUUCCUACGUCCCACACGGUGCACACAAGCAUCUGUUGUGAAAUCAGAGAGGAAAAAUACAGAUCAGAGAUGGAGUUCAGGUAAGUGUGAAACAUGGCCGCCACAUUACGCCUCUUCACCAACCAGUGUCUGACGUUCUGCUCAAGAACAAUCUAGAAGGAUUCAGUGAUUUCCAACACAAUCAUUAAAGUCAGAAGGGAUGAAUACAUUAAAUUCAAACUGUUUUUGAAGUGAGUUCCAGGAUGAAGGUGUGUUAUAGAAAAACGCUACCUUGCCAAAUUCACAUUUUAUGAGUCCAUUGAUGAGGACGGAACUGUUAGACUGUAUAUAUCUAUUGUUGGUGAACCAAUAACUGCUUUGUAUAUGAAGCGGAGUGGAGGCUAACCAGAAAGAUUAUAAAUCACAGUAAUGAGUGGAAUGCCAAGCCUUAGUCGAAAAUGGGUAAAAAUAAAAAAAUAAAAGUAUAUGUAGCAAGCGCUUUACAUGCUUGAAGAAUGUUUUUUUUUUUUUUUUCAGAGGGCCCAUAAAAAAGGCUGAAACAGAUAAACUACUGUAUGUUAAGUGAUAUUGGGGAACACUGUUUAUCAUACUUAGUGACAAAAGAAUACUACACCUUCUCCAGUGUGUCAUAAAGCACAGCUAACAGUGGUUUAAAUACUGCAUCUUCUCCAGUGUGUAUUACAGCACAGCUAACAGUGGUUUAAAUACUACACCUUCUCGAUGUGUAUUACAGCACAGCUAACAGUGGUUUAAAUACUACACCUUCUCCAGUGUCUCACAGCACAGCUAACAGUGGUUUGUGUACCUACUGGGCAUUGGUGUCGUCAGCUCUGUGCUGAUCGGCGGAUCAGGAACACCUAAAUGGCAUUCGGAGUAUUUUAUGAGCGUUACUCAUCCUGACGCAUUACUCUAUCUGACAUCCAACAUGUGCCGGCAUGCUUCCCAUGCCAAAAUACACAACAAGUGGACUUCAGAGCCUAGUCUUUCAGCCCAGCCAUAUUUAUUAAGUCUGCUUUUGAAAUGUCCCUGCAACAGGUUCAAACAUCUUUCCUUCCUAGACUAGCAUGCAAACGGCCAUUUUGUUUGAUUCCUAAAGACCAGAGGAAUUGUGUUCAGAUGCUAAAUCAGCUGUGAUUGAUUCCUAAAGAAAAGACCAGAGGAACUGUGUUCAGGUGCUAAAUCAGCUGUGUUUGAUUCCUAAAGAAAAGACCAGAAGAACAGUGU